UGUCUCCCAAGGGACUUCAGGAUGAGGAGAAACAAAGGGAAGUGAGCAGCGAGAAAAAUGGGAUAAAACAGGAGGUUACUAUUUUGAGACUGUGAAAACCAGAAAAACACAGGAAAUGAUCCAUCAGAGAAAGGGAACAAAUGAGACCACCAGAUGAGCUGUUCAUUCAUGCCCUCCUCUGAUUCGUGUAAGAAGUUUGUAGUACAGACGGGAAAAAUCUUCAAUUUAAAGAACUGUCUACUUAUUAUUCAACACAAGUAAAUCAAAGAUACAGUUUUACAGAUAUUAGUCAAAUGAUAGUACAGGAUUAUUUGAGGGUUUUACAACUCUUCUCUGAGUCCCUGCUCUGUUCCAUAUUCACUUGCCUCCUUACUAUGGUCCUGAUGGCCCGUGCCUGUCAAAUGGUACCUCCUAAAUCCUUUGUGCAGGGCUUCUGUGUGAUCCUUCCAACAGGGGAUCCUCUUUGGACCUAUCCUCUCUUACUUUGAUUCCCUGAAGGUCUGAUCUGGACCCUAAAGAUACCUUUGGCUUGUCUUGACUUUCACACAAUUACCUACCAACUAAACUAGCUGCCAGAACAUUUUAAACUUCUGGAUUAACCCUAUCACUUUCUUGUUCUAAAACCGUCCUAUUUCCCUUUUGCUAGUGAAACCAAAUCAAAGCUCUAUUGUUCUAGCAUUUCAAAAUCCAGCUGCCUUUUUCUACUGUGGAAAUCAGGACACACUCUUCCUUCCCUCUCCCCCACUCCUGGAUUCCUCAUGCCCCUAAACAGACCUGUACGUCCCCCUCUGUGCUUCUUUUACAGGGAGGCCUGCACCCCAAGCAGUCUGCCUAUAGGACUACAGACAGUAUUAGUUUGCAAGGGCUGUCACAAUGCGAAACUAAGGACUGGGCAGCUUGAACUAUAGAAAUUUGUUUUCUUUAAAGGUUUUUUUUUUUUUUUUUAAAUAGAGACAGAGAAAGUAGAGUGGCAGAGAGAGGGAAAGAGACUGCAGUGCCAAAGUUUCCUUCAAUACUGUGGGGGCCAGACUUGACCCUGGUGGUGCACAUGCCAAAGUAGUGCACUAUUCAAGUAAGCUAUUUUACCAGCCCCCUUUUCUUUAAAUUUUUAAAAAUUCUUUCUUCAUUUUCUGAGAGGGAGAAGAAAGACAUGAUAAUACUGCUUCACCAUCCAUUCAGCUCCCCUGGUGGUAUCUAUAAUGUUCCCAUGUGGUACCAAGGCUCGAACCCAAUGGCUCCAGGCAUAACAAGUUAUGUGCUGUAAUAAGUUACUUAUGUCUUACUCCCUAAAAAUUUAUUUUAUCACAGCUCUGGAGGCUAUGAAUCUGAGGUCAAGGUAUAGAUACUAUUAGUUUCUUCUGGGGCCAAUUCUUAGAGAUGUAGAGGAGAUGCUCAUUUUCUCCCUGUGUUUCUACAUGACCUUCCUUCUGUGUGUGUUUUUAUCUCUUACAAAGAAACAAGUCAUGCUAGAUUAAGACCAUCUCUAGUAAUGCCAUCUUACCUGU